CACGGGGCUGGGGGAGCCCCUGGAGGAGGGCGUGUUUCAGCUGGGUUGUGAGGAUGAGUGAAAUUUCACCUGGGAGAGGGGAGAAGCCAGUACAUGCUGAGUGCGGCGUGGAGUCAGCAGAGCUCGCAGAGGGCACCCGGGCUGGACAGGGCUGAACAGGGCUCACCUCCCCCAUGCCCCAGCCUCAAGCAUUCUCCCUGCUUCUUCCUGGACUGUCAGGUUUUGUGAAAUUUCCCUCUGACGCUGCUACUCUGAUGGUUGGCAUUUCCGGGCUGACUGCAAGAGGCCAUCCUGGUGGGGCUGGACCCCCUUCGCUCUGGCUGGUGAAGUCACAGCUCGGGACACCCAGAAUCCUGGCUCCUCCAAGUACCUCAGCCUGC
rnacentral:lncRNA from 10 species